rnacentral:rRNA from 1 species
UCCAGACUCCUACGGGAGGCAGCAGUGGGGAAUAUUGCACAAUGGGGGAAACCCUGAUGCAGCGACGCCGCGUGAGUGAGGAAGUAUUUCGGUAUGUAAAGCUCUAUCAGCAGGGAAGAGAAUGACGGUACCUGACUAAGAAGCCCCGGCUAACUACGUGCCAGCAGCCGCGGUAAUACGUAGGGGGCGAGCGUUAUCCGGAUUUACUGGGUGUAAAGGGAGCGUAGACGGCUGGUCAAGUCUGAAGUGAAAGCCCGGGGCUUAACCCCGGAACGGCUUUGGAAACUGAGCAGCUAGAGUGCUGGAGAGGUAAGCGGAAUUCCUAGUGUAGCGGUGAAAUGCGUAGAUAUUAGGAGGAACACCAGUGGCGAAGGCGGCUUACUGGACAGUAACUGACGUUGAGGCUCGAAAGCGUGGGGAGCAAACAGGAUUAGAUACCCUCGUA